rnacentral:rRNA from 1 species
AUUGAACGCUGGCGGCAGGCCUAACACAUGCAAGUCGAGCGAGCGGCGGACGGGUGAGUACUGUCUGGGAAACUGCCUGAUGGAGGGGGAUAACUACUGGAAACGGUAGCUAAUACCGCAUACCAUCAGAUGUGCCCAGAGGGGAUUAGCUAGUAGGUGGGGUAACGGCUCACCUAGGCGACGAUCCCUAGCUGGUCUGAGAGGAUGACCAGCAAAACGGGAAUUGAGACAGGGUCCAGAGUCCUACGGGAGGCGGCAGUGGGGAAUAUUGCACAAUGGGCGCAAGCCUGAUGCCUCCAUGCCGGGUGUGUGAAGAAGGCCUUCGGGUUGUAAAGCACUUUCAGCGGUGAGGCGUUACCCGCAGAAGAAGCACCGGCUAACUCCGUGCCAGCCGCCGCGGUAAUAC